rnacentral:rRNA from 1 species
UACGUAGGGUGCGAGCGUUAAUCGGAAUUACUGGGCGUAAAGGGCGCGUAGGCGGACGACUAAGUCGGGGGUGAAAGCCCGGGGCUCAACCUCGGAAAUGCCUUCGAUACUGGUCAUCUUGAGUACGGGAGAGGUGUGUGGAACUCCGAGUGUAGAGGUGAAAUUCGUAGAUAUUCGCAAGAACACCAGUGGCGAAGGCGGCUCACUGGCCCGGUACUGACGCUGAGGUGCGAAAGCGUGGGGAGCAAACAGG